rnacentral:tRNA from 1 species
GCCCGCUUGGCGAAAUUGGUAAACGCAACGGACUUAAAAUCCGUUAGCCCACAGGCUUUGCUGGUUCGAAUCCAGCAGCGGGCA